rnacentral:tRNA from 1 species
AAUUAGUGAACUUGAAUAAGUAUAUAUUUUGAAAAUAUAUUAUAGAAAUAGGAAUUUUCUACUAAUUU